GAUGAACGCUGGCGGCGUGCUUAACACAUGCAAGUCGAACGGUGAAGGCGGAGCUUGCUCUGCUGGAUCAGUGGCGAACGGGUGAGUAACACGUGAGCAAUCUGCCCCUGACUCUGGGAUAAGCGCUGGAAACGGCGUCUAAUACUGGAUACGAGCUGCGAGGCAUCUUCAGCAGCUGGAAAGAACCUCGGUCAGGGAUGAGCUUGCGGCCUAUCAGCUUGUUGGUGAGGGAACGGCUCACCAAGGCCUCGACGGGUAGCCGGCCUGAGAGGGUGACCGGCCACACUGGGACUGAGACACGGCCCAGACUCCUACGGGAGGCAGCAGUGGGGAAUAUUGCACAAUGGGCGAAAGCCUGAUGCAGCAACGCCGCGUGAGGGACGACGGCCUUCGGGUUGUAAACCUCCUUUAGCAGGGAAGAAGCGAAAGUGACGAUACCUGCAGAAAAAGCGCCGGCUAACUACGUG
rnacentral:rRNA from 1 species